ACCUCUUAGAAGGGUUCACGUACCCAAACUGUAAGGUUGAGUAGAAGCCAACAGGGGUUUGUGGGACUGGGGAAGGUGUGAGGAACAAGCAAGGCUUCUAGUACAAGCAUGAGUUGAUUAGCAGUGAAAAGACUGUAUGCUUUGUAAUUUAAUGCCUACCAUUAUGUUCCAAAGUUAAUGUCCCCUGGAGAGGAACUGAAUAUUUGUAAUUCCUCUAAGAUAAAGCCUCAGAGGCCACAGAGACAGUCAGGCAAUACCACAUCAGGUAUGUUCAACUAAUGCUUUAAUGCUUCCUUAGUAACCCCAAGGACUUGCAUGCUGAAGCACAGUUUCAUGGCAAAAGAUGAAUACUAUUCCCAGAGAAUCAGGCAAUACCCCGGUCCCUUUAGUUCACAUUUAUUUUGAGCUAAGGGCCUCUCAUCUUCAGUCUGGUACAGCUUUGAGUUUCAGCUCAUGGUGUGUGUAGCAACCACUGUUAUUUAUUUGAAAAACAGCAGUAUCUGUGUAUAAAUACGCUGAGAGCACUGUCACAUAUUGGAUACGGUGGACAAGGAAAAAAAUCUCUGUUCUACACUUAUUGUCUGCCCUACACUAUAAAAUCCACUGAAAACUAUUGAGUUUUCUCUGUGUAUAGAAGACACUUCCAUUCCUGCAGGACAGAAAAAAAUACUACAGGGUCAGAAAUGCAGCUAAGAGUCCCCUGGACAUCCCCUUGAUGUGCUGCAAUUGUUCACGUUUAGUCAUAAAGAAAGCAACUGAAAGGGCUGACUCCAAUAUCUGUACUACAUAGCUUUACUAUGCCUGGAUACAGCACAAUUUCACUUCUGCAUUGGACUAUCCUUGCCUUGGUUCCCAGCUGUCCGUCUCAGAAGGUCUGCAGGUCACAUUUGUGUGCUGCUAUUCUAGUUAUCGCUUCUUGUGAUGUAUAGCAUUCAUGCUUUUAGGAUUUUUGGCUUUCAUGUUUUGCCAGUGUCAGUACUUUUCUAAGGGAGCAGCUUUUUAUUCUCAUUGCAGGGCAGCUUUCCCUGGAUCAGGAAAUAUCCACCCUGCCUGUGGUGGACCAGAUAAGAUAGAUGCUGGCCACCUUGCCUGUUGAUGGUAUUUGUCUAGUGGUGAUGUUCAGAAGCUGUAUUCCACAGUGAAGGCCUCAUUUAACAGGCAGUAACACACAGAUAGUUCCCACCCACAGAGCUCACUGCCUAGGGUUAUGGAAAAGUAUAUCAAGCAGAGGUCAAAGAAUUGUAAAGGGCAAUAAUGCAACAUGGGCCUCUUGCCUCAGGCACGACAGUCAACCUUGCCUGCAUACAACCAGCUGUCUUACUUAAUACAUACACACAUGCACUUACGCAUGUAGGCUGCAUAAAUUAAACAGCCUUUGGAGUGCAAACAAACAGCAAAUGCUAAAUUCAAGCCAGAUGUGAUCCACUCCCUAAACACCAGCAAAGCAGUUUCAGACUGGAGCUGCAUGCUGUUGGAGGUAAGUUGGAAAGCAGGCCUGGUGGGAAGGCUCCAACACUUGAAAAGCAAUGGGCCCCUCUAAGGUCUUGCUUUUCCUCCAGCUUAACAGUUCCUGGAUGCAGGGUAUCACCUGAAGGGGAGAAAGACUUAAACACUGUACCUUUUGGAAGAAAAUAGGUGAAGGGCUUUCAUGUGAUAUGGAUUAUAUUCUACUUGCAUGUUUGGAAAACAAAUACUUGUAAGCCUUUAAAGUGCGACGAUAUAGAGGAUCCCAGUCCUAUGUGUCCUAUUCUGUAUAGGCAUCUUUCAGAGCCUCUGUAGAUCCAGGCUUUUCUCAUUAAUGUUGGCUCUGAGUCUCAUUGUAGCAUACGACUGCAUCAAUGCAGAGCUGAGCAGCUGAACUCCUGUCUGGGUUGCAAGACGCAAUAGGAAGCCUGCUGCAAAGCAUCCUGCUCCAUGGCUUCACAAUGGGCACUGAACCUGGGGGAAACACAAGUGGACUUGGCACUGAGAAUGAAUGCUUGUGGGAAAGGAACAAUUGGAAUGGACUUGUUGAUUAGGAAAUCUUUUGUGAAUAAACUCCAAGUUGUUGCCCU
ensembl:lncRNA